GGCUGUGAAGGAGGCUUCAAGCAUGAAAGACAGAAAGAGGAGAGAACAACCCCAAUCUAAGCGACAUAGCAUAAGUUAUAAAUAGAUAUACAUGUUUGGUUUGGUUAUUUUGUGUUUUUUCCUUACAAACAAAUCAAACUGAAAUAACUAAUGUUCUCAAUAUUCCGAAACCAAAACCGAACUUUAAAAAAACCAAAUCAAACUUCUAAAAAUCAAACUGGAAAACUGAAUUCAAUCGAUUCAUUUUUUCAGUUAUAACCAUUUAUUGUUGCUUAGCCCUAACCCCCACCACAACAACCAUAGUAUAGCACCUAAUCCUCAGUUAAAAUUAAUGAAACAGAAGUGGGUCAAAAGAACUUUACCUUCAUGUGACGGCAAGUGUCUAG
rnacentral:misc_RNA from 1 species